GCAGGCGCGAAACCUUUACACUGCACGACAGUGCGAUAAGGGGACUCCGAGUGCGAGGGCAUACAGUCCUCGCUUUUCUGUACUGUAGGGAAGUACAGGAACAAGUGCUGGGCAAGACCGGUGCCAGCCGCCGCGGUAAUACCGGCAGCACGAGUGAUGGCCGCUCUUAUUGGGCCUAAAGCGUCCGUAGCCAGCCGAGCAAGUCCGUCGGGAAGUCUGCCCGCUUAACGGGCAGGCGUCCGGCGGAAACUGUUCGGCUUGGGGCCGAGAGAUCCAAGGGGUACGUCCGGGGUAGGAGUGAAAUCCCGUAAUCCUGGACGGACCACCGGUGGCGAAAGCGCCUUGGAAAAACGGACCCGACGGUAAGGGACGAAAGCUAGGGUCUCGAACCGGAUUAGAUACCCGGGUAGUCCUAGCCGUAAACGAUGCUCGCUAGGUGUGGCGUGGGCUACGAGCCUGCGCUGUGCCGUAGGGAAGCCGUGAAGCGAGCCGCCUGGGAAGUACGUCCGCAAGGAUGAAACUUAAAGGAAUUGGCGGGGGAGCACUACAACCGGAGGAGCCUGCGGUUUAAUUGGAUUCAACGCCGG
rnacentral:rRNA from 1 species